CUCGUUGUCAAACAGUUUGUUAGUUUGUCUAUUCUCCACGCUAAAUAAUGCAGACACACAGAUUUACGGUUAACGAAAAAUGGAACAAAACGUCAUACUAUGGAAACAAGGAAACUAUGCCAACAGGAAGAAGACUACACUAUUAUUUAACAUCGCACGCAACUAGUUGCCCGCCAAAUUCAAAUUUACUUUUUAGUGCAAUUAAUUUUGACGUUUAAUUAUAAGACGUAAACUCAAUGAUUAUUUUCUCAUCUUUUAUUAAAACGAAGGUUCAGGGAAGUAAAGAACAAGAGGUUGGCAAUAUCGCGGGUCGUUCUCUAUAAGACGGAUUCGGGUAUCGGUAGCGGACCAAGAAUAGCGAAUUUAUCCGUCCCGUGGCCGAGCGCUGUCUUACCACCGACCGCUCCCUCCGCUUGUAGCCACUUACGUUAUUUCAUGAGUGAUCUUUCGUACGGUGACGCGCACGGAUUGCGAUUAGUUCUUCGUAUAUGGGGGCAAGAAACAGUGGACGCUUCUUUCAGCGUCUUGAGUUGGGCCUAGUGAAUCCAAGUGAAGUGAUAUCGCCAAGUGGAAGAUCCGGAACAUUGUCCAAGAGGGAGUGAAGGGAAAGAAGGGAAGAGAAGAGACAAGAAAAAAAAGAGAGACAGAGAUAAAAAGAAAGAGAGAGAGA